UUUUGAGGUUUGAGGUGCCUAACUUGAUUUUCUGUACCCAGUUCAAACUUGACAAGGAAGUUCGUCGCAUCACAAGCUUCCAUGUAAAUAAGCCCAACUGUGCCUUUGUUCUUUUCAGAUAAGAGUGAAGACUGAAUGAAAUCUCCAAGCCACAAAGAUUGUCCUCUAGGGUGACAGAGAAGGAACUUGUAGUAUGCCUCCUUGUUACAGUGCUGGUCACAUGCUGAAUUUCUGCAAUAAAUUUGUUUGUAUUGUAGUUAACAAUACCUAAUUUGGAGUCAUUGUUCAGCUUCUGGUUCACCAAGGUAAGCAAGCUGAUAGCCAGGAGAGUUGGAUCUGUUGUAGCUUAGUCAAAGCUGACAGGAAUUGCGGAACCUCAGCAGUGGUCCUAUCACAACCUCUUCCACAGCGACCAGGAGACUGAUUCAAAACAAUGGCAUGCUUGUUAUAGGUCCUAAUUAGUAGAUGGAACCACCUGUUUCUGACUCAUUCCAAGCCAAACAAGGUACUUCCUGGAGUCCUUCGUUUAGGAAGAAUGGAAGAAUGUGACUCAGAAGUUGGAGAGAAAAUCAGACACUUACCAGCAGAAAACCUCGCAGCGCAUAAGCCUUUUCAGAGUUUCCAUGGUUUCAACAAGGCUUACUUCGAGACUGAGACUAAAAGUAUAUCCACUCUGAAGUACACCUAGUAUCAUUCUGAUUUUGGAAGCUAAAGAAGAUCAAGCCAGUUUUGUACUUUGAUGGGAGACACCAGAUAAUACAAUGGAUCUCCAGGUAAGUGUAGGAAAUUAAACCUGGAGAUUGUUACCAGUCAGAGAUGACAAUACCAGGCUAGGUAGACCAAUGGUUCAACUUAAUAUAGCUUCCUACAUUCCUACACAGGGAAUGCUUAUUUGUGUGUAU
rnacentral:lncRNA from 1 species